UACAAGAUUUUGGCGCUCUCUAGUGGCCAACCGAAAUCGCCAAAUAAACAAACAGCAGCGAUGGCUCAAGCGAAGGACACGCACAAAUGGACACCACAGGAGACCAGACGGCUCAUUAAUUUCAGGGCAACCAGGGACAAUGAGUUCCUAAAAUCGAAAAUGAUCGCCAGAAAACAGUGGGAGCUUUUUCUGGAAGAAAUGGGGGUGGAGGGGAAAGUGACCAGGCAACAGGCUUCUAAGAAGUGGGAGAACCUUAAAAAGAAGUACAAGGCCCGCUCUAUCACAGAACGCACCUUGGAUUGGCGGUAAUUAAAGCGUUGCUGCACCCGCCCAAUCACCGGCUCUUUAUAGGGAGUCAACAGACAUACGGGCGUCUGGAGGCAGGGGUACCCACCAUCACCUAAAAGCAUGUAACCCGGCGGUGGAUACCUGGCAGUCAAAUAAAAAUAACUGUUUUUCAUUACCCUUGUCCUUUAUGUUUCUUGGACGGA
ensembl:lncRNA